rnacentral:rRNA from 1 species
UUCCAGACUCCUACGGGAGGCAGCAGUGAGGAAUAUUGGUCAAUGGACGAGAGUCUGAACCAGCCAAGUAGCGUGAAGGAUGACUGCCCUAUGGGUUGUAAACUUCUUUUAUAUGGGAAUAAAACAGGGUAUGCAUACCCUCUUGUAUGUACCAUAUGAAUAAGGAUCGGCUAACUCCGUGCCAGCAGCCGCGGUAAUACGGAGGAUCCGAGCGUUAUCCGGAUUUAUUGGGUUUAAAGGGAGCGUAGAUGGGUUGUUAAGUCAGUUGUGAAAGUUUGCGGCUCAACCGUAAAAUUGCAAUUGAUACUGGCAGCCUUGAGUACAGUUGAGGUAGGCGGAAUUCGUGGUGUAGCGGUGAAAUGCUUAGAUAUCACGAAGAACUCCGAUUGCGAAGGCAGCCUACUAAACUGCCACUGACAUUGAUGCUCGAAAGUGUGGGUAUCAAACAGGAUUAGAUACCCCGGUAGUG